rnacentral:rRNA from 1 species
GAUGAACGCUAGCGAUAGGCCUAACACAUGCAAGUCGAGGGGCAGCAUAGAGUAGCAAUACUUUGAUGGCGACCGGCGCACGGGUGAGUAACACGUAUGCAACCUACCUACUUCAGGGGAAUAACCCGGAGAAAUUCGGACUAAUACCGCAUAAUACAGGGAUGCCGCAUGGCAAUAUUUGUUAAAGAUUUAUCGGAUGUAGAUGGGCAUGCGUUCCAUUAGCUUGUUGGUGAGGUAACGGCUCACCAAGGCAACGAUGGAUAGGGGAACUGAGAGGUUUGUCCCCCACACUGGAACUGAGACACGGACUAGACUCCUACGGGAGGCAGCAGUGAGGAAUAUUAAUCAAUGGACGAGAGUCUGAACCAGCCAAAUCGCGUGAAGGAAGACUGCCCUACGGGUUGUAAACUUCUUUUGUACAGGAAUAAAAGACAUUACGUGUAAUGUAUUGCAUGUCUGUACGAAUAAGCAUCGGCUAACUCCGUGCCAGCAGCCGCGGUAA